rfam:Marinobacter lutaoensis strain T5054 DSM17466_contig_4, whole genome shotgun sequence.
CUAUCCACCUCGUGAGGGGUGGAGAUGGGGGAUCAGAACUCAGCAGAGGCCAUAGUAGGUGCGUUACCGCGUACUGAAGGGC